AUACGGAGGGGACAAGCGUUGUUCGGAAUCAUUGGGCGUAAAGCGGGUGUAGGCGGCUUGGCAAGUCGGGUGUGAAAUCCCUGGGCCCAACCCAGGAACUGCACUCGAAACUGCCUCGCUAGAGUCCCGGAGAGGGUGGCGGAAUUCCCGGUGUAGAGGUGAAAUUCGUAGAUAUCGGGAGGAACACCAGUGGUGAAGGCGGCCACCUGGACGGUGACUGACGCUCAGACCCGAAAGCGUGGGGAGCAAACAGGAUUAGAAACCCCGGUAGUCC
rnacentral:rRNA from 1 species